rnacentral:rRNA from 1 species
UACGAAGGGGGCUAGCGUUGCUCGGAAUCACUGGGCGUAAAGGGCGCGUAGGCGGCCAUUCAAGUCGGAGGUGAAAGCCCAGGGCUCAACCCUGGAAUUGCCUUCGAUACUGUUUGGCUAGAGACCGGAAGAGGUAAGUGGGACUGCGAGUGUAGAGGUGAAAUUCGUAGAUAUUCGCAAGAACACCAGUGGCGAAGGCGGCUCACUGGCCCGGUACUGACGCUGAGGUGCGAAAGCGUGGGGAGCAAACAGG